UUCCGGUUGAUCCCGCCGGAGGUUACUGCUAUCGGUGUUCGACUAAGCCAUGCGAGUCAAAUGUUCUUCGUGAACAUGGCGGACUGCUCAGUAACACGUGGAUAACCUGCCCUUAGGUUCGGCAUAACUCCGGGAAACUGGAGAUAAUUCCGAAUAGGUCAAAUAUGCUGGAAUGCUUUUUGGCCAAAAGACUUCGGUUGCCUAAGGAUGGAUCUGCGGUCUAUCAGGUUGUAGUGGGUGUAACGUACCUACUAGCCUACGACGGAUAUGGGUUGUGAGAGCAAGAGCCCAGGGAUGGAUUCUGAGACAUGAAUCCAGGCCCUACGGGGCGCAGCAGGCGCGAAAACUUUACAAUGCGGGAAACCGCGAUAAGGGGACACCGAGUGCCAGCAUUUAUGUUGGCUGUCCACAUGUGUAAACGGCAUGUGUUAGCAAGGGCCGGGCAAGACCGGGGCCAGCCGCCGCGGUAACACCGGCGGCCCGAGUGGUAAUCACUUUUAUUGGGUCUAAAGGGCCCGUAGCCGGUUUGAACAGUUCUUCGGAAAAUCUGACAGCUCAACUGUUAGGCUUCCGG
rnacentral:rRNA from 1 species